rnacentral:tRNA from 1 species
GGGGUUGUGGCUCAGUGGCAGAGCGCUUGCCUAGCAUGUAUGAGGCACUGAGUUCAACCCUA